rnacentral:sRNA from 1 species
UACCUAACCUAGCUUUUGCUGGCAUGGUCCAUAAGAAAUCCUACGCAAAUACAAACGGCCACAUGAGCCGACACUUAUUUGCGUAGGUCUGGUCCUGAAAAGGAUUCAGGAUAAUCUCGAAAGAGGUUGUC